rnacentral:rRNA from 1 species
GUGCCAGCCGCCGCGGUAAUACCGGCAGCCCAAGUGAUGGCCGAUCUUAUUGGGCCUAAAGCGUCCGUAGCUGGCCGCGCAAGUCCAUCGGAAAAUCCACCCGCCCAACGGGUGGGCGUCCGGUGGAAACUGCGUGGCUUGGGACCGGAAGGCGCGACGGGUACGUCCGGGGUAGGAGUGAAAUCCCGUAAUCCUGGACGGACCACCGGUGGCGAAAGCGCCUCGAGAGGACGGACCCGACAGUGAGGGACGAAAGCCAGGGUCUCGAACCGGAUUAGAAACCCCAGUAGUCC